GUGGGGAAUCUUGCGCAAUGGGCGAAAGCCUGACGCAGCCAUGCCGCGUGAAUGAUGAAGGUCUUAGGAUUGUAAAAUUCUUUCACCGGGGACGAUAAUGACGGUACCCGGAGAAGAAGCUCCGGCUAACUUCGUGCCAGCAGCCGCGGUAAUACGAAGGGGGCUAGCGUUGCUCGGAAUUACUGGGCGUAAAGGGCGCGUAGGCGGACAGUUUAGUCAGAGGUGAAAGCCCAGGGCUCAACCUUGGAAUUGCCUUUGAUACUGGCUGUCUUGAGUACGGGAGGGGUGAGUGGAACUCCGAGUGUAGAGGUGAAAUUCGUAGAUAUUCGGAAGAACACCAGUGGCGAAGGCGACUCACUGGCCCGUUACUGACGCUGAGGCGCGAAAGCGUGGGGAGCAAACAGGAUUAGAAACCCUUGUAGUCC
rnacentral:rRNA from 1 species